GACGAACGCUGGCGGCGUGCUUAACACAUGCAAGUCGAACGGAAAGGCCCUGCUUUUGUGGGGUGCUCGAGUGGCGAACGGGUGAGUAACACGUGAGUAACCUGCCCUUGACUUUGGGAUAACUUCAGGAAACUGGGGCUAAUACCGGAUAGGAGCUCCUGCUGCAUGGUGGGGGUUGGAAAGUUUCGGCGGUUGGGGAUGGACUCGCGGCUUAUCAGCUUGUUGGUGGGGUAGUGGCUUACCAAGGCUUUGACGGGUCGCCGGCCUGAGAGGGUGACCGGCCACAAUGGGCCUGAGAUACGGCCCAGACUCCUACGGGGGGCAACAGUGGGGAAUAUUGCACAAUGGGCGGAAGCCUGAUGCAGCAACGCCGCGUGCGGGAUGACGGCCUUCGGGUUGUGAACCGCUUUCGCCUGUGACGAAGCGUGAGUGACGGUAAUGGGUGAAGAAGCACCGGCUAACUACGUG
rnacentral:rRNA from 1 species